CCUACGGGAGGCAGCAGUGGGGAAUCUUGCGCAAUGGGCGAAAGCCUGACGCAGCCAUGCCGCGUGAAUGAUGAAGGUCUUAGGAUUGUAAAAUUCUUUCACCGAGGACGAUAAUGACGGUACUCGGAGAAGAAGCCCCGGCUAACUUCGUGCCAGCAGCCGCGGUAAUACGAAGGGGGCUAGCGUUGCUCGGAAUUACUGGGCGUAAAGGGAGCGUAGGCGGAUAGUUUAGUCAGAGGUGAAAGCCCAGGGCUCAACCUUGGAAUUGCCUUUGAUACUGGCUAUCUUGAGUACGGAAGAGGUAUGUGGAACUCCGAGUGUAGAGGUGAAAUUCGUAGAUAUUCGGAAGAACACCAGUGGCGAAGGCGACAUACUGGUCCGUUACUGACGCUGAGGCUCGAAAGCGUGGGGAGCAAACAGGAUUAGAUACCCUGGUAGUCCACGCUGUAAACGAUGAGUGCUAGUUGUCGGCAUGCAUGCAUGUCGGUGACGCAGCUACGACAUAAGACACUCCGCCGUCGGGAGGUACGGUCGCGAGAAUUAAACUACAAUAGUAAGUUAGUACGGCGUGAGACGUGACCGACGGACGACGACGAGGGAGGAGG
rnacentral:rRNA from 1 species